CAUCACUGGUGAGGCCGUCUGCUCAUCAAAGUUUGAGGUUAUGGCUGAGGCCAAUUUCUCGCCAAUACUAUCGCCCGUAUAUACCCUUAUAACACUGCUCCUGAUCGCCCGACAGCAUUAAGCACAUCGCCAGUGCAAAGCGCCAUUUUGGAACCAGAGAAAGAGGAAAAUCGAUUGCCAUCGAGUUAUUUCGAUAUAUGAAGGGCCCUUAUUCUGCGCCGCGCAUGAGGUGACGAUUGUCACGUCACUUCGAGUCACCGUGAGAUUUGUCACCUUAUUCCCGGAGUCGAAGCGGGAAAGGUGACAGCGGUUCAUUCAAGGAUAAAAUUUCGGCGGUCACAACUGAGCCUAACAAGCUAGAAAUUGGAUGGUACAAAAGCACCGAAUUGUAUGAAAAACAACGAAUGCAGAAGUCAUCGGCUAUUUCCUGCCAACCGGUGCCCAGGAGGAUUUAAGUUCAAAACAUUUUUACCAACUUUAGCAGCAUAAUUUUUUGGAAUAACGCUGCUGGGAGGAACCUUUCAACUAAAUUCCAGUUCCUAAAUAGGAAAAUCUUGAACGCUUAAGCCCAUUGUCAAAUUGUGUACGUGCGAUUUGAAAAAGCUGCUGGAAAAGAAAAACAGGUUUGUGCAUCGAGCCGUGGAUUGUGGUUUCCAUGCAGGUCUGGGACUUUUGUGCUAGCCAAAAGGACAGGAGUUUUUUGGAAUUUGAUGGACGAUUCCCGUUAAUUAUACGGAUAUGCUAAAGGUACCGACAAUUCACACCUAAAAUCGUCACCUGAAUGCGACGAUUCUCACCCACGGUGACUACGAGAAUAGGGUAAGAACUCACAAAGUUCAUCCGAAGUGACGUUCCUCACCUAAACCGACUACUGGAAUAGAGUGACUUGGGUGAGUCGACUAUCGUCACGUCACUCGCGGCGCAGAAUAAGGGCCAAGAUAACUUGGCCGUUAGAAGGCUUGGAAAAUAACUCCCCAAAGAAAACCAAGGGCUAAGCUUCACGAACCACAUACACUGCAAUUUCACAUCCGUAUGCUGCUGCAUAAUUCCCUCGACAUUCGCAACAACCAGAUAAUCUCGAACACCGGGACCACGAUGAGCACCUGGAGGAAGAAGGCUGAUUGGUUCCGGACGGUUGCGGUGUGCUUUCCGCGAAAGUGUAAUAAGAAAUGCAAAAAGGAAUAAAUAAAGUAAAAAUUGAA